AACAAAAAUAUACUUUCGAAAGAAACCUUCUUUUUACCCAACAAAAUUGAAAGAAACCUAUCUCUUAUUAUCUUCUCGCAUUUCUAAGGCAACACUGAGUCAGAGAAGGACAUAACACACUGCCCUGAGGUUCUGAUCUUUCUCUUAGCUAUUUGUUAAUCAUUCAGAGCUCUUUCUCUCUAUUUGUAUGAUUCAGCUCUCUCCCCCUGGUUUAUGUUUCCGUUUCUGAAAUUUAAUGGAAUUGAUGAUCUGGGUUUUGUUUUUAGAGAGGAAUUUGAGAUUAGAUUUGGGGUUUUGUAUAAACUCGCAAUUUAGGUGUUUCUCAGAAAAUAUUUGGGAAAUUUGUCAUAUUUGUAACUAGAUUUUGGAUUCUGGGUUAGCUUGGCCUUUUUCCUGAUCUUGAAUGUGUUUUGAAUCUGACUUGAUCUGCUUGUGUGCAAACGAAGUUCUCUUUUUUCUCUAUGGAUGUAAUGUUAGGGUUCUCAGUGCUCAGAGCUCAGAGCUCUGGUUGAUUGUGGAGAAAUUUAGGAGGAAAAUGAAAAUGAUAUGAAACCACCUUGCAAAUAUUGACUAAGAAGCUGGUUUGGUUUGACUGCUCUAUCUAGAUUAGAACCUUAGUGUGUGUAUGUGUCUAAAUGAAAACAUAGGUUAAAGUUUUUAACUUGGCCCUUGUAUGAUUCUUUUUUUGUUCCCCUGAGUUGCAUAAUAUUUUUUAUUAUCAAGAAUUGUUAUCUUAUGUUGAGACUGAGACAGACAAAGUCCUUUUGUAGAUUAAUAUUCAAUUGAUUGCAAUAAUUGAAAUGAAGAAAGAAGGAAAUGAGGAAACAAGUAUGGAGUCAGUGAAGAAGUUCUUGGAGAAAGAAGGUGAAAUGGCAAUCUCCAUGGAUGGGCUGCCAGAUAAGUUCUUUGAGCCCUUUAUCAUGAAAGGCAUUCAAGUUGAUCUCCUUGAACCCGGUCGUAUUGUUUGCUCCUUCAAAGUACCCCCUCGUUUGCUGAAUGGAGGCAAUUUUAUGCAUGGUGGAGCCACAGCAACCCUUGUGGAUUUGAUAGGGUCAGCUGCAAUCCUCACCGUCGGAACUCCCAGCGUUGGAGUUUCAGUGGAGAUCAAUGUUUCAUACUUGGAUUCUGCUUACCCUGGUGAGGAAGUUGAGGUUGAGGCCAAGGCUUUACGAGUUGGGAAGGCUGUUGGUGUUGCCAGUGUUGAGUUAAGGAAGAAGAAGACAGGCAAAAUUAUAGCUCAGGGCCGUCAUACCAAGUAUCUUGCUCUCGCUAGCAAACUCUGAACAGCUUGGAAGCUGGAACCAAGACCCAAGACACAAUUCGGUCUGUGUUCUAUGUAAAGAUUUUUCAACAUUGAAUAAGUUUUCUUUUGACUGAAUUAUAUAAAUUCACAGUUUGAGAUGCAAAUCAAUGAUCAAUUGAAAUUUUCCUCAGACUUGUAUAGAAUAUUGAGAAGCCUAUUGGUGUUGUCAGUGUUGAAUUUAGGAAGAAGAAAACAGGGGAAACAUUGUUGUCAAACUGGUGCUUCUCCCUACACUCAAUAAACUAUGAACAACUUUAAACCAAC
rnacentral:lncRNA from 1 species